GUGGGGAAUAUUGGGCAAUGGGCGAAAGCCUGACCCAGCAACGCCGCGUGAAGGAAGAAGGCCUUCGGGUUGUAAACUUCUUUUAUGAGGGACGAAGGAAGUGACUGUACCUCAUGAAUAAGCCACGGCUAACUACGUGCCAGCAGCCGCGGUAAUACGUAGGUGGCAAGCGUUGUCCGGAUUUACUGGGUGUAAAGGGCGCGUAGGCGGACUGGCAAGUCAGAUGUGAAAUCCAUGAGCUCAACUCAUGAACUGCAUUUGAAACUGUUGGUCUUGAGUAUCGGAGAGGCAAGCGGAAUUCCUAGUGUAGCGGUGAAAUGCGUAGAUAUUAGGAGGAACACCAGUGGCGAAGGCGGCUUGCUGGACGACAACUGACGCUGAGGCGCGAAAGCGUGGGGAGCAAACAGGAUUAGAUACCCUUGUAGUCC
rnacentral:rRNA from 1 species